rnacentral:lncRNA from 1 species
ACACAAGUUCCUAAAAUCUCCUUAACAGUCCCUUGCAGCUCCUUGGCCAUGGACCUGGGCCUCAUAAUCUUCGCAAUCUCGAUGACGUCAUCCAGCGAGAUAUUGCCGGUGUGCUUGAUAUUCUUCGUCUUCUUGCGAUCACGUUCCGGUUCCUUCAAGGCCUUGAUCACCAGCGCCGCCGCCGACGGCACCACCGACACCUUCGCCUGGCGGUUCUGCACCGUGAGCUUCACGGUCACACGCAAGCCCUUCCAGUCCUUGGCGGUCUCUUUGGCGAUGUCUUCUCCGAUUUUCUUGGGGGACAGACCGAGUGGACCGAUCUUCGGAGCGAGAGAACUCGCCGCGCCGACUUCGCCGCCGGUGACGCGGACGUACACGUCGAUGACUUGGGAGGGAUCGAACUUGGGCGGCAUUUUGAAACGCUACUAGGGUUUUCAAGAUGAGGUGAAAUGAGAUUAAGCUGGGAUAGGAAGCUAGGGUUUUAAGGGGAUUAUUUGUUUUAGGCCCUUUAUAUUUGGGCUUUGUUUAUUUCAAUAUGGAUUUCUAUUGCUUUGGGCUGUAGCCUUUCUUUAUUGUUUUACUCAAACCUAAUAGUGAACGUUUGUAAUUGGUCAGUGACUCAAUAUUUUUUGAGCCACUUAUUUUUUCCGUAAACUAAUUGUUAUCAUAAGAUAAGAUAGGGUUAAUUAUCUAGUUGGUCACUGAAAUGGGUUUAAUGUAUCAAGUUGGUCACUAAACUGAAAACGGUAUCAAGAUAGUCACUAAAGUACCAUAAAUAUCAAAUAUCAAACAAGUACCCUGAAAUAUGAGUUCAAGCAGUAAAAAUAUUAUUUAUAAAGUUUUACACAUUAUUUAUAGAUGUUAACACAACCAACUAAAAGAUUAUGAUUUCUAGUAUUUAUGAUAAUAUAUUUAGAUUUUAUCAGAUUUAUUUAUUAUUUAUUAUUUGUUAUAUAGUUAUUUUAUUUGUUUUAAUUAAAAAUAAAUAAUAAAUAAACCUGAUAAAAUCUAAAUAUAUUCUCAUAAAUACUAUAAUCAUAACCUUUUAGUUGGUUUUGGUAGUAUUCAAGAAUAAUGUGUAAAACUCUGUAAAGAAUAUUUUUGCGACCUGAACUCAUAUUUCGAGGUACUUGUUUGAUAUUUAUAACGAUUUUAGUGACCAUCUUGAUACCGUUUUCAGUUCUGUGACCAAUCUGAUAUAUUAAGCCCACUUCAGUGACCAAUUUGAUAAUUAACCCUCACAAGAUAUAAAUAUAACUUAUUCUUUCAAAAAAGUAUAACUUACUUAGUUAGUAAUUUAUGAUAAAUUAUUCACUAUAAAUUAAUAUUUGAACUAUAAAUUUUUCAUCCCAACAUAACACUGAUUGAGUAUAUUUAAUCUCGAUUAAUGAAUAAGUUUUAUAAAUUAAUAAAACUUAGCUCGACGCUAUUAAUUUAUAAAGUUUUAUAAUAUUCAUAAUUAGAGACUUUAUCAUUCCAUUACGAGACAAAUUCAGAAAAUAUUGAAUAUUAUCAUCUUAAUAUGAGGUUAAAUGGUUAUUUAGUGGGCGUUUGGGUAAGGUUAAAAUAAGUGUUUUUUGCUUAAAGUAAAGAAGUGGAGAAGAAGUUAGAAGUAAAUUAAGACUUAUAAAUGGUUAAAGUGUUUGGCAAAUAAGAAGUCCUGAAACAAAAGCUAGCUUUCUAAGCUUUUUAUAAGUACUUCUUGACUUCUUACACAAACGAUACGAAUAAGUGCUUCUAAUUUAUAAUCCAGAAGCCGGACUUUUAAGCACUCUCCAAACACCCCUUUAAUUUCAUUUUUUUAUACGCUCACGGAUUUUAUAGAUAGCCCAAACUCUCCUACAAGAGAAAGAAAGUACAAGAAAAAAGUAGACAGCUCAAUCCCAGAAUACUAACGGGUCGUUUGGUCACGGAUAACUGACAAAAAGAAAGGGAAACAACUCAUUUCAUUCCCUUUGUUGUUGUUUGUUUCAUGAAAUCUGUCAUUCCCUUUCCCUUGUUUUGGUUUUAGGUUUACCCCAAAUCCCUCCUGAUCCAUUCCCCACCCCCCACCAGGUAUUUCUUUUCGCUUUCCUGAUUUUUAUUUUAUUUUCAAUUAUAAUUUAUUUCAAAAAUCAUUAACAUUAAAAAAUAAUAUGUAAAAUAUUUUUGAAGAUCAAAAAUAAAUUUUAAUUUAGUUUUUACAUAUUAAAAAUAAUUUUAGUAUAAUUUAUAAGUCAAGAUAUUUAUAAAAUUAAUGAAAUUUUUAAAUGAUAAAAUAUAUCAAAUUAUAAACGUAAAUAUAUUUUACUCUUUUGAUAUUAUUUAAUAUUUAAAAAUCAAAUAUAAGAAAAAUCAUAUAAUUUUUCAUUCCGUUUCUAGAUCAAAACCAAACAGCUAAUACAAUUCAGCAUCAUUCCUUUCUUUUCUCUUCAUUUCCUUUUCUGAAUUCCAUUCUGUUUCCUUAACUCGAACCAAACGGCCCCUAAGGCUACAGCAGGGACAUAAUCUCUGACACCUCUUAAUCCGGGUCUAAGAUUAGAGAAUCAUUCAUCAUUAACAUAUACUCCCUCCGUCCCUCUGAUAGGUAUACAUAUGGGUUGGGCACGGAGACUAAGAAAAGUGUAUAAAGUAUGUAUAAGAGCAUCUCCAACCAUCUAAAGUCAUUGGCUAAAAAGUGAGUUGGCAUACUUAAAAUAAAAAAAUUUAGCCAACAGCUCCAAAAACUUAACUCCAACCAUACUCAGCUGUUGUCUAUAAAUUUAGCCAACCUCCUAUGGAUGGCUAAAUUUGACUCAGCUGUUGUCUAUAAAUUUAGCCAACCUCCUNNNNNNNNNNNNNNNNNNNNNNNNNNNNNNNNNNNNNNNNNNNNNNNNNNNNNNNNNNNNNNNNNNNNNNNNNNNNNNNNNNNNNNNNNNNNNNNNNNNNNNNNNNNNNNNNNNNNNNNNNNNNNNNNNNNNNNNNNNNNNNNNNNNNNNNNNNNNNNNNNNNNNNNNNNNNNNNNNNNNNNNNNNNNNNNNNNNNNNNNNNNNNNNNNNNNNNNNNNNNNNNNNNNNNNNNNNNNNNNNNNNNNNNNNNNNNNNNNNNNNNNNNNNNNNNNNNNNNNNNNNNNNNNNNNNNNNNNNNNNNNNNNNNNNNNNNNNNNNNNNNNNNNNNNNNNNNNNNNNNNNNNNNNNNNNNNNNNNNNNNNNNNNNNNNNNNNNNNNNNNNNNNNNNNNNNNNNNNNNNNNNNNNNNNNNNNNNNNNNNNNNNNNNNNNNNNNNNNNNNNNNNNNNNNNNNNNNNNNNNNNNNNNNNNNNNNNNNNNNNNNNNNNNNNNNNNNNNNNNNNNNNNNNNNNNNNNNNNNNNNNNNNNNNNNNNNNNNNNNNNNNNNNNNNNNNNNNNNNNNNNNNNNNNNNNNNNNNNNNNNNNNNNNNNNNNNNNNNNNNNNNNNNNNNNNNNNNNNNNNNNNNNNNNNNNNNNNNNNNNNNNNNNNNNNNNNNNNNNNNNNNNNNNNNNNNNNNNNNNNNNNNNNNNNNNNNNNNNNNNNNNNNNNNNNNNNNNNNNNNNNNNNNNNNNNNNNNNNNNNNNNNNNNNNNNNNNNNNNNNNNNNNNNNNNNNNNNNNNNNNNNNNNNNNNNNNNNNNNNNNNNNNNNNNNNNNNNNNNNNNNNNNNNNNNNNNNNNNNNNNNNNNNNNNNNNNNNNNNNNNNNNNNNNNNNNNNNNNNNNNNNNNNNNNNNNNNNNNNNNNNNNNNNNNNNNNNNNNNNNNNNNNNNNNNNNNNNNNNNNNNNNNNNNNNNNNNNNNNNNNNNNNNNNNNNNNNNNNNNNNNNNNNNNNNNNNNNNNNNNAAGAGGGGUGCCAAUGCCAUGUGGCAUGACAUGGACCGGCACUCUUGUUAGCACCCCCAUUGGAAAUGUUAGGGUGCUAUCGGGGUGUCAAGUGAGUUGGCAUGGGUGCCACUUUAAUAUGAGCUGAUCCUAUAUUUAGAAAAAUUGGAUGACAAAAGCAAUACCUAAGUUCAUAAAGGAGGUAAUGACACGGCAUACAAACUCAACAAGUCAUCCUAAUCAAAUAAAAUGCAAGAACACAACAAGAACCGUUGACAUCCUAUAACUCUAUAUCAUGGAAUUACAACUCAGUUACGUAUUGCUAAGCAACUUAUUGCAUUUUCUGUGCUUAAGCCCUUUGACAGAGCAACAAUCUAAUUGAACGCCUCCAAUUCAACAUAAGAUAGCAACACAUUACAGAAAAAGCAUCAGCUCUUAUUAUAAAACAAAGGACGUGAAGCAGUAUCAAGACAGUUUAGAUUUCAGAACACAAGGAACCACAUUUACACAUAUUAUCUGUACUCCCAGGCUUCAUGCUACAUUCUAGAGUGAACUCGGUACUUUUUAUAAUUGUAUAUCAUCAGCCAUUACCCCAAAACAUCUUUAACUGAUACUAGACUACACUCACUUUGAUACCGUUUAUUUAAUUACUUGAUCACAAAACUCUCUUAAACAUCAAACAAAAUGAAAUGCACAUUUACUAGAAAACACACAACGCAAAAGAAAGAUCACUAAUUAAACAACAAUACGGCAAAUCCACAUAGAUUAUCGCAAAAUUAUAAGAAAACAACUAAACGCUGCAAUUAUAGUAAAACACGAAAGUUGAAUAACUAAUAAUUAUAAAAGGAGAACCAAGUAGCAUCACAUUGUCUAGUAAUUGAUUUAAUCCAAAGGAAUCUCGACAUCGCCUCCGUCGAUCUCCUCCUGCAAGUCUUUAGGAUCCUUCCCAUCCACCGUACAUCCAACCGAAACACAAGUUCCUAAAAUCUCCUUAACAGUCCCUUGCAGCUCCUUGGCCAUGGACCUGGGCCUCAUAAUCUUCGCAAUCUCGAUGACGUCAUCCAGCGAGAUAUUGCCGGUGUGCUUGAUAUUCUUCGUCUUCUUGCGAUCACGUUCCGGUUCCUUCAAGGCCUUGAUCACCAGCGCCGCCGCCGACGGCACCACCGACACCUUCGCCUGGCGGUUCUGCACCGUGAGCUUCACGGUCACACGCAAGCCCUUCCAGUCCUUGGCGGUCUCUUUGGCGAUGUCUUCUCCGAUUUUCUUGGGGGACAGACCGAGUGGACCGAUCUUCGGAGCGAGAGAACUCGCCGCGCCGACUUCGCCGCCGGUGACGCGGACGUACACGUCGAUGACUUGGGAGGGAUCGAACUUGGGCGGCAUUUUGAAACGCUACUAGGGUUUUCAAGAUGAGGUGAAAUGAGAUUAAGCUGGGAUAGGAAGCUAGGGUUUUAAGGGGAUUAUUUGUUUUAGGCCCUUUAUAUUUGGGCUUUGUUUAUUUCAAUAUGGAUUUCUAUUGCUUUGGGCUGUAGCCUUUCUUUAUUGUUUUACUCAAACCUAAUAGUGAACGUUUGUAAUUGGUCAGUGACUCAAUAUUUUUUGAGCCACUUAUUUUUUCCGUAAACUAAUUGUUAUCAUAAGAUAAGAUAGGGUUAAUUAUCUAGUUGGUCACUGAAAUGGGUUUAAUGUAUCAAGUUGGUCACUAAACUGAAAACGGUAUCAAGAUAGUCACUAAAGUACCAUAAAUAUCAAAUAUCAAACAAGUACCCUGAAAUAUGAGUUCAAGCAGUAAAAAUAUUAUUUAUAAAGUUUUACACAUUAUUUAUAGAUGUUAACACAACCAACUAAAAGAUUAUGAUUUCUAGUAUUUAUGAUAAUAUAUUUAGAUUUUAUCAGAUUUAUUUAUUAUUUAUUAUUUGUUAUAUAGUUAUUUUAUUUGUUUUAAUUAAAAAUAAAUAAUAAAUAAACCUGAUAAAAUCUAAAUAUAUUCUCAUAAAUACUAUAAUCAUAACCUUUUAGUUGGUUUUGGUAGUAUUCAAGAAUAAUGUGUAAAACUCUGUAAAGAAUAUUUUUGCGACCUGAACUCAUAUUUCGAGGUACUUGUUUGAUAUUUAUAACGAUUUUAGUGACCAUCUUGAUACCGUUUUCAGUUCUGUGACCAAUCUGAUAUAUUAAGCCCACUUCAGUGACCAAUUUGAUAAUUAACCCUCACAAGAUAUAAAUAUAACUUAUUCUUUCAAAAAAGUAUAACUUACUUAGUUAGUAAUUUAUGAUAAAUUAUUCACUAUAAAUUAAUAUUUGAACUAUAAAUUUUUCAUCCCAACAUAACACUGAUUGAGUAUAUUUAAUCUCGAUUAAUGAAUAAGUUUUAUAAAUUAAUAAAACUUAGCUCGACGCUAUUAAUUUAUAAAGUUUUAUAAUAUUCAUAAUUAGAGACUUUAUCAUUCCAUUACGAGACAAAUUCAGAAAAUAUUGAAUAUUAUCAUCUUAAUAUGAGGUUAAAUGGUUAUUUAGUGGGCGUUUGGGUAAGGUUAAAAUAAGUGUUUUUUGCUUAAAGUAAAGAAGUGGAGAAGAAGUUAGAAGUAAAUUAAGACUUAUAAAUGGUUAAAGUGUUUGGCAAAUAAGAAGUCCUGAAACAAAAGCUAGCUUUCUAAGCUUUUUAUAAGUACUUCUUGACUUCUUACACAAACGAUACGAAUAAGUGCUUCUAAUUUAUAAUCCAGAAGCCGGACUUUUAAGCACUCUCCAAACACCCCUUUAAUUUCAUUUUUUUAUACGCUCACGGAUUUUAUAGAUAGCCCAAACUCUCCUACAAGAGAAAGAAAGUACAAGAAAAAAGUAGACAGCUCAAUCCCAGAAUACUAACGGGUCGUUUGGUCACGGAUAACUGACAAAAAGAAAGGGAAACAACUCAUUUCAUUCCCUUUGUUGUUGUUUGUUUCAUGAAAUCUGUCAUUCCCUUUCCCUUGUUUUGGUUUUAGGUUUACCCCAAAUCCCUCCUGAUCCAUUCCCCACCCCCCACCAGGUAUUUCUUUUCGCUUUCCUGAUUCUUAUUUUAUUUUCAAUUAUAAUUUAUUUCAAAAAUCAUUAACAUUAAAAAAUAAUAUGUAAAAUAUUUUUGAAGAUCAAAAAUAAAUUUUAAUUUAGUUUUUACAUAUUAAAAAUAAUUUUAGUAUAAUUUAUAAGUCAAGAUAUUUAUAAAAUUAAUGAAAUUUUUAAAUGAUAAAAUAUAUCAAAUUAUAAACGUAAAUAUAUUUUACUCUUUUGAUAUUAUUUAAUAUUUAAAAAUCAAAUAUAAGAAAAAUCAUAUAAUUUUUCAUUCCGUUUCUAGAUCAAAACCAAACAGCUAAUACAAUUCAGCAUCAUUCCUUUCUUUUCUCUUCAUUUCCUUUUCUGAAUUCCAUUCUGUUUCCUUAACUCGAACCAAACGGCCCCUAAGGCUACAGCAGGGACAUAAUCUCUGACACCUCUUAAUCCGGGUCUAAGAUUAGAGAAUCAUUCAUCAUUAACAUAUACUCCCUCCGUCCCUCUGAUAGGUAUACAUAUGGGUUGGGCACGGAGACUAAGAAAAGUGUAUAAAGUAUGUAUAAGAGCAUCUCCAACCAUCUAAAGUCAUUGGCUAAAAAGUGAGUUGGCAUACUUAAAAUAAAAAAAUUUAGCCAACAGCUCCAAAAACUUAACUCCAACCAUACUCAGCUGUUGUCUAUAAAUUUAGCCAACCUCCUAUGGAUGGCUAAAUUUGUCGAAUCUCUACAGGUCUGUAAGAAAAUCUGUAGAAAGAUUGUACAUCAUUUAUGACCAUAUUGAACUGAUAUAUUCUAUUUUAACAAUUUAAAAUAUUAAUAACAUACUAUUUUUAAAUUAUAACCAACCAAUAUAGCUAAUACCAUUGAAGCAAAAUGUCUUACAGGUUCAGCAAAUUUUACAUAAUGUCUUACAGGUCCAAUUUAGCCAGCGAUUAUAGCCAACGCCAUUGGAGAUGCUCUAAAGUAGUGAGAGGAGGGAAAAAAAAAUGGGUAAAUUAGUGGGUCUCAUCAAUAUAUAAUUGAUAGAUUUGAAAAAGUAGUUGAAAGUAGUGGGUGGGUGGGUUUUUUAUAUUAUAAAAGUUUGCUAUUUUGGGAAAGUUUUGAAAUGUAUGUAAUUACGUGGGACAUCAAAAAAGGAAAGUGUAUAGAAUUAAAUGGGGCGGAGGGAGUAUGUAUCCUGGAUUUAAUAAUAUAAAUAUCUCUUUACACCAUUAGGAUCGGUAACAUGUGAUGAUAUGAAACAAGUUACAACUAUUAACCAAAAUAUAAAGAGGUAAUUGCAUAUCGCACCCCCUAAGUAUCGUUCAAAAACAAUAAAGUACCUAUAUUUUGAGAAACUCAACUCGCAUCCCUAAUAUUUAGUGUUCAAGCCCGAGAUGCACCCCUGCCGUUAACUUCCGUUAACUCACUGCACUCCGUUAAGUCAUUAUACAUAUAAUUGUAAUUCAGACCCCUUAAGUUACGUUAAAAAACGAUGUUGUAUCCAUACUUUUGGAAACCCAAAUCGCACCACCUAUCUUUACAUUUCAAGAACGAUACACACCUCCUCCGUUGAAUUCCGUUAACUUCCGUUAAAAUACUCCUCCGUCUCAAUUUACAUGCCCCUUUUGCUUUUUGAGAAGUCAAAUUGACUAAUUUUUGACCAACUAUUAAAAAAAUAUUUAUCUAUUAUUUUAGAAAAUAGAAAGUUACAUAUUAAAAUAUGCUAGAUUUUGUUUAAAAAAUAUAUCAUCAAAAAGUAAAUCUAGUCUAUUUUAAUAGAGAUAAAUAAUAGGGGGUCCGAAUUGCAAUUACCUCUAUUAUUUGCGAAAUUCGGACCCUCUAUUAUUUGCGAAAACAAAUAGACUAGAUUUACUUUUUGAUGAUAUUUUUUUUAAAAUUUUUGCUUUAAUUAACUUAUCCCCAAGUCAAAAUGAUUUUACAUAUUGAAUGAUUUUAAAUUUUUAGUGACAUAUGUAUUAAGUACUUAAAAUAUACACUAUUUUAAAUAUAAAAAUAAAUAUUAUGUGAUAUUUAUCAUAAAUAAUACAUAAAAUUAUAUAUUGAUUAAAAUAUAUAAAUUUUAAUUAUUUUGUUUGGAAAAAUGAUCAAAAAUUUUUUUAAAAAAUAUCAAUAAAAAUUGAAUCUAGUCUAUUUUAAUAUAUAACUUUCUAUUUUCUAAAAUAAUAAAUACAUAUUUUCAAAUAGUUGGUCAAAAAUUAGUCAAUUUGAUUUCUUAAAAAGCAAAAUGGACAUAUAAAUUGAGACGGAUGUGUAUUUUAACGGAAGUUAACGAAAUUCAACGGAGAGUGUUAUCGUUUUCGAGAUGUAAAGAUAGGUGGUGCAAUACGAGUUUCCAAAAAUAUGGGUACAAUAUCGUUUUUGAACGUAAGUUAAGGGGUCCAAAUUGCAAUUACCUGUACAGUGACUUAACGGAGUGCAAAAAGUUAACGGAAGUUAACGACAGGGGUGCAUCUCAGGUUUGAACACUAAAGAUAAGGGGUGCGAGUUGAAUUUCUCAAAGUAUAAGUACUCUAUCAUUUGUGAACGAUACUUAGGAGGUGCGAUAUGCAAUUACCUCAAAUAUAAAAUAUAAACUUAUUACAAACCCCAAAUAAAUAACCUUAACCAUAAUCCGACUUGAAAUUAUACAAAACAUCUCAAAUGUACUAAUCACAACAGUCCAUACCAGCACACUUUCUCCCCACGGACUAUCCAAAGUAUUUUUUACCUGAGCUAGUAUCGCAAUCUAGCGAAAUAGAAAAGGUGACAUAGGCGGUCUAUCGAGCAGUGCAAAUGAGUGACUAUCUUUCUCUUACUUAGUUGUCAGGAUUAGAUAAAUGACACAAUUUGCUAUGAAAACACCGCAAGUAACUAUAGUAGACAGAAAAAUUAACUGUUCAACAGAAUAAAUAAAAAGUUUAUGAUAAUAGUCCUAAAGAUCCGAAAACAUAACGGAAUAAAAGAGAAAGUUUAUGAUUAUAGGCCCAAAGAUCAGAAAACAUAAACACAGGUUCCAAAUUAAAAAUAAUUCUAAAGAAAACUAAUUUUAUGAAUCAUCAAUAUACUUAUAUAAAGGAGAACCGAGGGGCGUGUAGGUGGCGCCUCUCACAUCGCUCCGUUCUAUUUUUUUAAUUUUCUGGAAUUUUUGGAUGAAAAAUAUCAUAAAUUAGAACUACCUUUUUUAGUUUCGGAUAUAUUAGAAGCAAAUUUCAGAAUCUGAUUAUGUUUGAGAUUAUUUAAAAAAUACAGUAGUUUGAAAGUUUUAAUCAGAUUUUGUUUCUAUAUAAAGGAGAAGCGAUAGAACUACCUUUUUUAGUUUCGGAUAUAUUAGAAGCAAGUUUCAUAAUCUGAUUUUGUUUCUAUAUAAAGGAGAAUCGAUAGAACUACCUUUUUUAGUUUCGGAUAUAUUAGAAGCAAGUUUCAGAAUCUGAUUUUGUUUCGGAUUAUUUUUGGAAUAUAGUAGUUUGAAAAUUUUAAUCUGAUUUCGUUUCUAUAUAAAAGAGAAGCGAGGGGCGUGUAGAUGGCGCCUCUCACAUCGCUCCGUUCUAUUUUUCUAAUUUUCUGAAAUUUUCGGAUGAAAAAUAUCAAAAAUUAGAACUACCUUUUUUAGUUUCAGAUAUAUUAGAAGCAAGUUUCAAAAUCUGAUUUUGUUUCAGAUUAUUUAUGGAAUAUAGCAGUUUAAAAGUUUUAAUCUGAUUUUGUUUCAGAUUAUUUAUUUAUGAUAAAGAGUAGCACACAAGUCUCUCCACACCUAUAAAUACCCCUUGUAGGUUGUAGGGUUUUGGAUCAUCUAAACACAACCUACUCUCCCUCAAUACCACAACCCUACCUCUAUCUGGUGAUAGUUCUCAAAUCCAAACACGGGAGAAAAAUAUAGUCUUGACAUGAUAUUGAUGGAUGAUAUCAAUAAAUUAACUAUUAGUGAUUUAUGUUUGUUGGUUAUUCUUUUAUAAUAUUUGUUUUGUUAAUCAGACAUGUUUUUUGUUGUUAAUUUUUAUAUGAUUUACUUUGUAUACAGGAAAAUAUUAUUCAUGCAUUAUCUGUUUGCUCCAUUCAAGCAAACAGAUAAUAUUAAAUCAUUAAUAUACUUUUUAUAUACAGCCACAAAAUUAUUGUACUCUACAAAUAUUAAUAUUGAAUCAUUAAUAUAAUUUUUAUAGGCCGCUGCAACGCGCGGCUUCUGAACUAGUUAUUGUAUAAAGACCCUUCUUUAAUCGGAACUUUCAUAAAAACUUUUUUUUCAAUAGCAUUUUCUUUCAAAACAGUUAUUUCAUCAAAACUUUCCUUUCAAGCACGAAAAUCACCUUGUUUUCACAUAGUUCAAUCAUCUGCACAUUUCUUUUCAUAAAAUAUUUUACUCGAUUGGAUUGUAUAACCAACAAUUGCACGGGUAAUCAGCUAUGUACAAUUCCCAUAGGAUAUCCUAAAGACAACGUAUCAAAUAAAUCUUUAUUUUGCAAAUAUUUCCCCGACGCAAACGAGAAAGAUAACUAGAAAUCUCCGAUUGUCUUUAGUCACUCCUUAUGAUUAUAAAAGAAAUAACUAGAACCAAGUUUUAUAGAUAAUUCAACAACAAAUUGCUGUAUAUCGUCUAAAUUCACUGUCAACCAGUAUUGUGCAAAACAAUCUAAACUGCUACCACAAGUUCAUAAUGUACAAAACCUAGCUCUAACAUUGACUGCGCAAAGUCCAACAAAAAUUCUUGUUAUCUUUCACUCCAUUUUCUCUGUUGAAGAUAAAUGGCUUUUUAACUGAGCUGCUCCAACAUAGCACCUUUUUACACAGCUUCAAGAGUUUCAAGUCAUUACUUUAUGUGUCCUGAGGAACCACGUUAGAUGGCGUUACAGUUUGAGUACGUUGAUCAGCGGUCUGCAAAUUGUUAUAAAGAUCAGCUGCCGCUUCUCGUCGUCUCUUCCAUCUUAAAAACUCAACAAUAAUAGAACUUCCACUCAUUGCAACCCCGAGUCCCGCAAAUGUUGCUAGAAGAAUUGAUAAAACUGGUUGUACAUGAACCUAUACGAAACAGAAGGGGAAAGUUGAAUGAAACAUGAAUUUGGAACGAGUAUAGUGUAGUGUGGUCCGUUCAAAUAUAGAAACAAAACAAAACUACUCUUUUCAGUUCCAAGAUUUACAGUGCUUCUUAAAGGGUAAGGCUUAUAGAAUGUCAUUCUUUGAGUUUCAAUGAAUCAAAUUGAAGUCACUCUGUCCUUGCAUUAAUAAAUUGACGGUGUAUUACUUGUGAGCAGAGAAAAUCUUACCACACUGAAGAAAAAAUGUGCAAAUAUAACCACAAAUGCGAAUUGAAUGGAUGCAUAUAGCCAGACGAAUCUUCUUUUUACUACACACGGAAUAAGAUUUCUCAAGUUAACACAGGGGCACAAUUUACACUUUAUGUAAUCCUAACUAAGCCCUUAGCAGUAUACUUUAACAAGACUUGUAAGAGCAUAAGUAUCCUACCUUCCAGUUGUUGUAUGUACAUAUAGAAACCAACUUCUAUAUUCAGAGUCAAAAUGGCUUACCCAUGGUUGAAGAGGUCAUAGAUGAAAGGAAACCUAGCACACAAGAAAAUGGAAGUGAGAGUGCUAUUGCACCCGUACCCAUAUUUGCAACCUGCAUGUGUGCAAAAUAAUUAGCACCAGAAAAAAUAUUCGCACAACAGACUGAGUGAGCACAAAUCCUACCAGAAGUUGCUCAAGAAAACAAAAGUAGGCAAGCAUGCUGACAAUAACAAGAAUUGGUAGCUCCUGCCAAACCCUGUAGACAUCACUGCAAAUAAAUAGAUAUAGAUAUGAAAUAUAAGUUGCCAAAUAGCUAAUGAUGUUAUUGUAAAAGCAUCAUGAUUCAGAAGCGUAUUUCUAUUAACUGAUUGACUUUCAUGAGUUUUGCCAGAAUUCUUUUUAUUUUCACGAAAACAUGUAUGCAUGGUAAAUAAUCAGCAAGAAGAAUAAGAUUUCAUAUUACUGGAGUAAACAGAACACAUGUAAUCAUGUACACAAAAUCAACUAGCAAGAUAGAUUGGUCAAAUGUGGACGGCAAAUCAAUGUGCACUUGCCUGAAUCCAUUAACUUCCAUGGCUGGAGCUCUAUUUGCGGAAAUAAGUCGAUUUUGUACGCUUUGAAUCCUUAGAAGGGUAACAGGUAGAUUCUGAACCUCAUGCUUACACACUUCACAAGUUUUGUUUCCUUUGAUGCUAAACCAUUUCACAGCACAUUCUUGAUGAGCUAAUGCAAGUUCACCUUUACAUUUGCAUUCCAUCUUGAGGGUUUCACCACCUUCACAUAAUUCAACCAUACAGAUUCUGCAAACAGCCUCUUCUUCUGGUAUAUCUUCAGCAUCAACUUCAUUAUUUUCUGACAAUAUAACUUAUUGAAGUGAGAUUAUUAAAUUUAAUAUAUACUAGUUUACUAAAGUAACAUUUAAAUAACAUUAACAGAAUAUAGUAGCUACGUAUACUCAUUAACUGUCAUUAUACAGAAAUAUGUAUAAUUUUAGCAUUUGUAUGAGUAGAUAGAAUUUCAUCAUACAUGAUAUAGUAAAGGUUGCACCUUGGAUGCAAGAGAGAGUUUAAAAAAACCAAGGUUUUUAACACCUGAGAAUUAAGUAAGCAUGAGAUAGGACAACAAAGAUAACAGAUAUACCAUCAUCUCCAUUUGCAUCUGUAUUGAUUAUCUUGUCAUUUCCAUCUCUCGUUUGAGGAGUUGAGGGUAUCACACGUAUAAAAGAAUCCAUUCGCCUAAUGGUAGGCCCUUUGUUUAGAUCAGGAACUGAUAGUGACCGAGAUAUGUGCUUCUGUGAUCCUUUAAACUACAGAAAACAUUUGCACAGAGGUUAUGUGUUUGCAUAUGAAUGUCACAUUGAUGAUUUGUUUACAAGCUGAAAAAUAUUUGCAAUUCAGUCAAAAAGUGUGAGUGACUUAAUCCAAUUUAUAACAAAAUUCCCAUAAUCCAUAUAAAUUAUUUUUAUAACAUUGUAAAUCUCAAGUCUGCUAAUUCCUACUAUGUAAUGAUGCACACUUGAUGUGGCUGAAAGACGAAAUUACUCAAAUACUUUCAUGAAUAUUUAUUCAAGCUUGUCGGGUUGCAACAACCAGAAAUAAAGGUAAGAUUUUAUGCCACUUCAUGUAACAGAAAUUGGCCAUCUGAUGCGAGUCACACAGAACAGGUGAAUUACCAGUUUAACUUGAGGACAUUGCCUGGUGAUGAUUUUAACGAUAAAUUAACACAUAAUAUGCAUGAACAACUAAACGUAGUAUUUUGUUACCGAAAAACAGCAGUAAACCAUUGCAACUUCGGUAUUUUAAGCCACCAUAUGAGCUUACUAAGAAUUUAAGAGUCCAUAUAUUUCUUUGCAAGUGCAAAUAAACAAGUCAAGCCCAAUAGGUAAAGAGUCGAACUAAUUUACUCUGUUCAACUUACUGUUAUAUAAUAAUAUCUGAGUUAUAUCACCCAGUAUACCAUGCCGAGAACUUACCUCCAAAUUAAGUGAGCUGCCCAAGUUUCCACCACGUAUGAUUUCUGAGUUUGAGCGUGAUAUUUGAGUAACAGGCAGGGAUGACGUCCUCUUCAUCCGAGGUGUAAAUAUCCUUGUAAGUGACCAUGAUCUUGACAUAGAAGACUUCUCCUGUGGCCCUCCUGAUAAAAUGUUGUUUGGUCUCUCGGCAUCUGAACUUGAAUUCUUAUACUUGAAGCUCAUCUUUGGAAGGAGUUGCUUCAUAGAAGAUUUAGCUUUAAAAGAUGAAGGACCAGGAGAUGCAUUUGCUCUUGCAUCAGUGGGGCUAGGCGUCAAGAUGAAAUUCACUUUCUUGGGAGUGGGAGUAGGAGUGGGCGGCAUUUUCAUUUCAACAAAUUCUUGAGGGGAGAUCUCCAUGUUUCUUGAUGGGAUCUCUAAAGAAAGAUUUGGCUUUCUCGGGUGCUUAUUAUGUGGUGUUUCUUGACUGAAUUCGGACGACUCAUCAAUCUGAAGAACAUGAACAAGAGACACAACACUGGUGAGAUGGAAACAUAUCAAGUGAGCAUUACAAUCUGCAUAUACCUACAAUUAAUCACAAUAUUAGUUCCUACUCUAAAUCUACUACAGCCAUUUGGAGCUGCAUUAAGUCAACUUAAUUAUGGAAAUAAGUAGUACCGAUUUCAGUCAACACCUAUCAUAUUAAAGGGUUAGCAGAAGAUCGUACAUAUAAGAAAAGAAUGGGUACUUUGGUUGCAUCUCAUAACUUCUGCACCUGAAGCUGAUAAGCAACUUCAUAUACCUAUCCUGCCAGUUGUUAAUUCUGAGAUUCUGACAACCGCAUCUAUAUUUAAUAUCUUUUGAUCAUUGCAUAUUACUUGAGUGCUCAAAUUUUCCAUGUAUAUAUCCUACCACAUAAAGAAAAAGUGAAGGUAUAUGUAAUAUGCUACAUUUUUUUAGGAACGUAUCAAUGCAACUUUAUCAAAAAAACAAGAUACAACUGUGUAAAUAAGGUAGUUUGGGCGUAUCUCCAUUAAAAAUUCCGCCCACUUUCUGUUAGGGGUGAGCGUGGUUCGGUUCGGGGCGGUUUUAAGGUAAAACCGGAACCGGAACCGCGAAUCUUCGGUUUUUAAAAUUAAAAACCGAAACCGCAACCGAACCGUCGGAUCGGUUUCGGUUUCAAAAACCUCGGUUCGGUUUUAGUCGGUUCGGUUUCGGUUAUAAAACCGCAAGAAAUGAGAAAAUGAAAAAAAAAUUACGUAUUGAAUCUUUAAAAAUUAUUUACAACAUUAAAAGUUAUCUCUUUGUAUCUUUACGGUAUUAGAUCAAUGAAAGAGUCCAAGGCUGCGAGUCUAUGAUUUUGAUAGUAUGUUUCGUACUACUCUUUUGGAUAAAAUCUAAGGUAUGUAAAAAAAAUCGAACCUAAUUCAAGUAUUCUCCAACCUAUACCAAACUAUAAUCUAAAUUCUAUAUAUUACUUAGUUACGGUUCAUGAUAUAUUAAUAUAAAUAUAUGUAUAUAUUAUCUUAAUGCACACGUGUAUAUAUGUACAUAUAUAAAUAUAUAAAUAUAUUUAUAAUUAUAUAUGUAUUAUAAUUUAUAAAUAAUAUUUAUUUAUUUAUUUUAAAUAAUCGGUUCGGUUCGGUUUAUUUCGGUUCGGUUUUAAUCUAAAACCGGAACCGCAACCAUUAGAAUCGGUUCGGUUUUUUAAUUUGCGGUUUCAGUUCGGUGCGGUUUUAUACGGUUCGGUUUUUAACGGUUUUGGUUCGGUUUCGGUUUCGGUUUCAAUUCGGUUUUUUGCUCACCCCUACUUUCUGUAUCAAGGAAAGAUGAUCUACGUAAAGAAACUAUUCCACACAUCGAAAAAAGACAUUAGUACAUCACACAUGUUUUUUUUUAGCUUUUACCAGUUGUAUCAUCUCUCAAACAAGAAUGAAAUACUAUUAGGCAAAAGAAUCCAAUCCCAUAGGAGUUUUGGUUUUGAUUCUCACAGGGCAAGUUCUCAAUUGGCACGAAAGCUAAGAAUCAAGUCCACAAUGUCAAGACAAGAAAUAGAGCACUUUUGCUUUCUAAUAAAGGCUUCACAGUUCAAUGUAAAGAAAUAAAUUUGCAACCCCUUUGUUUUUUCUUUUUUUUGUUAAACCGGUGUCCGGGCCCGUUUUCGCGCACCCCGACUAAUUUGCGACUUAUUCACACAUGAGAUUGGAACCUACUCACUGUUACCAACGCAAUCUGAACUCUGAAAAAUUCUACACGAGAAAGACCUCAUAUAAAUGUAAUAUUUUAACCAAAAGUUAUACAGUGACAACUAUUUAUUGAAGAACUCUAUAUCUAUCUAUCUAUAUAUAUAUAUGUGUGUGUGUGUUUUCGAGGUCUCCAAUAAAAAGGUGGUCGGGGUAGAACUCAACUACAAAAAUCUUUCACUAAUAAACAAGAAGAACCUAAAUAUAGUAAUUACAAAUAAAGAAACAGAUGAAGCAAUCAACAUACCUCAUCAACCGGAAUGACUACUUGAAACAAACACUUGUGAUCCUCCAUACUUGAAGUUUGUAUCUUUAUAUUCUCAUGCAAAUCUCCAGUGUUGAGAUUUAGUGUGUGAAUGAUACAGAAAGGGAGGGUUGAAAAGAUUGGGUUUUGGUGAAGUUGAGAUGGGAAAUUGGUGAAUAUGGAAGAGAGUGAGUAAUGAAAGUUUGCAUUAAUAGCCAGCCAGCAAGAAGAAAAGAAAGAAAAGAGACUGGUGUGUGUGUGUGUGAAGUGGGGAAGAGCUCCUCUGCCACUCCAGUCUUUUAUGGACAAGUAGUUGUAAAUAAAAUAAUACUACUCCCACAAAAUCAUAACUCUUUCCACUCCACUCCAAAUGGUGGGUCAUGAGGCAUCAGCCCCUAUUUGUGGUAUGAUAUUUUGGUUAUUUUUUUCUCAUAUUUUUGUUAUCCUUUCUGAGAAAAUUUCCCAUCAAAAAUUUUUCCUCUUAAGUACUAAAGUUUCUCUUACAUUAUUAAAUGAUUUUUAAGAACACUCUCUUUUUUUUUCUGAAAUUAUUUAAAAACACUCUUGUUGUUAUUUUUAUAUAUUAUUAUUGUAUAAUAAACAAAUAUAGAGAUAAUUUGUAUUAUAAUAUUUUGAUUAUAUCUUUUUAUCAUACUUAAAUUUUCCUUACGAUUAGUAAACAAAAUUGCUAAUUGUUUUUAGUUUGUUAUUUGUUUCUCAACGUGGUUGUAUUUGCAGUGGAAAGUUCGUUCCGGUAUUUUAUUCUGAUUAAUUAAGGUGUUUUUCUUUUUGGCAAAAAAAUAAAUAAAUUAUCCUUACAUAAGAAAGAAGGAAAAAAAAAUCCAAUUUUAAAAUUCUUGGUAUUGGCCUCAAUUACUACAAUAUCGACUAGGGUAAUAAUCAAAUGAGUAACCGAAAUGAACUUAAUACAUCAAGUUGGUCAAGAAAUUCAAAACGGUCUUAAAUCGGUCACUUAAAUCAGUUACAAGUAUUUCUAAAUAUGAGUUUAAAUAUUACUACAGCAAGGUUAUGAUUUCUGCCUUUCUAGUAUUCUAGUAUGUAUGAUAGUAUAUUUAGAUUUUAUUAAGUAUGUUUACUAUUUAUUUUUUAUUAUAUAGUUAUUUUUUUAAUUUUAAUUAAAGUAUGCAUUCAUAAUUAUAUCUGGAAAAAUUGUAAAAUUAUGUAUUUGUUAAAAGAGUAAGCCCAUAAUUUUUUUUUAAAAAUAAUUUAUAUAAACAAGCCCAUUAUUAAAAUAAUAUAUGAAAAUAUUAAAACAAAACUCAUACCCGUCUGACUUGCAACCGCAGACUCGUUCAUGCUUGUUCUAUAAUUACAUGUUACUCCUUCCGUCUCCAAAUAAUUUUCAUGUUUGUUUUUAUCACGUUCGCCAACACAUAUUUUUGAUGACAAAAUCUUUAAUUUCAUAUUAAUAUUAAAUAUAAAAUUUCACCGUAUUAAAGUAAUCAUAAAUACGAAACUCUCUCCGUCUCUGAAUACUUUUCCUGUUUGUCUUUAUCACGUUCCCCAACACAUAUUUUUGAUCAUUAAUAUCUUCUUUUUUGAUGAAAUCUUUAAUUUCAUAUUAAUAUCAAAUAUAAAAACUUCACCGUAUUAAAGUACUCAUAAAUACGCCAACAAAAUCACUCAAGAUUAUAUUUAAUCUUAUAGAUUAAAAAUAAAUUAAUAAUUUAUCUCAUAUUAUAAACAAUCACAAAUAUGACCGCAAUUUGAAAAGUUUUUAGAUCGGUGGGAAUACCAUUUUUUGACACGAGGCUUGUAUGAUAUGACUCGCGUACUUAAACUGCCGAUUCCGUGUCCGGACGAAGGUCCACUAUUGAACCGGCACGGAUGACGGAUCCAACCUCCGGUUCGGCGGCACUAGUCGUCACUCAUCACUUCAUUUCUCCACAUUUCAUACACUCGUUUUUUUCUAUCUUUCCGCUAAAAAACGACAAAGAUUUACUAUUAUUAAGUAUGGAUAGUUAUUGACAUAUCACAUAUGUGAUAGUCAAAUAUUUAAAUAUUUGAUAUGAAAGUGUGCUAGUUAUGAAAAUAUAUAUCGGAUUACUCAAGUAAAUACAAGAAAUGACCCGAAUAUUCCCCUAUAUGUUAAGUGUUGUUGAGAGUUGAGUCCAGUAUUCUAAAAAUCCCCGAUUUAAUCGAUAAAUCCCCGAUUAAUCUCUUGCCAGGUCGGCCACCGAUCCGAUUAAUCCUCAUAUAUAUUCCAUAAUCGAAGUAUAUGUGAUAAAUUAUUAAAAUUAAAAUAUUAUAUUAUUUUAAAUAUGAACAAUUAUAGAGUUUAUAAAUAUAGUAAAUAUAUUAGUUACUAAAUAACUAAUAUAAUAAUAACUAAAUAUUAAAUAAUAUUUUAAAAUGUGAUAAAUUAUUAAAAUUAAAAUAUUAUAUUAUUUUAAAUAUGAACAAUUAUAGAGUUUAUAAAUAUAGUAAAUAUAUUAGUUACUAAAUAACUAAUAUAAUAAUAACUAAAUAUUAAAUAAUAUUUUAAAAUUAAAAUAAACCCGAUUUUAACUCCGAUUAAUCCUUCCGAUUAAUUUCCGAUUUUCGAUUAAAUUUUGAAUCGAUAGCUCAACCGAUUAGAUCCGAUUCCCGAUUUCUGUAGCACAGUCAUGUAAUUUGUUUACCGGUUGGAUAACGAAAGAACUCAAUGCUUUUGGGAGUUGAGUUGGGUGGAUUAAUAUUAAUACUAGUAACAAAUAAACUACUCCUAUAUGGGAGGGAAAAGCAAGUCAAGCCACUAAUGAGUUAAGUUGGCGUGUAACCCAUUAUACAGAGGAAACAGAAAAACGCAUUAAAAGGGGGGCAAGGUUUAUCCUCCCGUAUCUCCGACUGUACAAAAUGUCAUUCAUGGUGCAUGUUUUUCAGUCAACCAUAAAUAUAUAUGGUGCCACUAGAGCCGGCCAAACGGGCGGGCCGUGCCGGUUCGGGCCGGUUCAGACGGGUUCCGAACCGUCAGCUGUGGAACCGUAACCGGCCCGUCAACACUGACGGUUCGUGCCGUGCCGUGCCGUGCUGAAGAAAGUGGAAGUCAUAACCGUGUUAUACGGUUUACACGGGUUCUGCGGUUCGGGCCGAACAAUCCGGGCUGGCGGUUCGCGGUUCUUGACCGCGGUUCAACAGAGUGUGUAAAUUGUAUGUGUUUGCUUGUCUAGUUGUCUGUCUUGUCUAGUUUAUUUAGUGUUGUUUUGUUUAUUUGUUUUUAGUUUAUUUAGUUUAGUUUAGUUUUUUAUUUUUAGUUUUAUAGUAACAAGUUUAAUUUCAUUAAUUCUUAAAUUUAAAAAAUUCGAUAAUAAAAUUGUUUUAUAUGAUAUUAGUUUUGGAAAUUAGUUUUGUCAAGUAUUAAUAUGAAAUUAAUUAUCAAAUUGUAAACUAAUAAAUAAUUACCUAAAUUUAAAAACUUAGCCGAAAUAAAAUCAACUAAAUUAUUUUUUUAAAAGAAAAUUACUUAAGUUUAAAAACUUAACCCAAAGAAAAUUGACUAAAUUAUUUUUUUUAAAGAAAAUUACCUAAAUUCAAAAACUAAAAUGAAAUGAAAUUAAGUAAAUUACUUUUGUAGUUAACGAAAUAAACUGAACAAACUAAACAAAAACUAAAAGAAAUAAAAGAAAAACUAACGUAUUAAAACCCAUGUGCAAAAAACAGAAAGCAAAGAAGUGUAAUUAUAUGGACAUUCAGCGGUUCCACGGUUUGAAACCGCGGUUCCAACCGGGCCGGUUCCGCGGGUUCCCGCGGUUUCGGGCCGGUUACGGUCCGGUUCCCCAUUUCUCAACCCGGAUUCGGCACGUGUUCAGUAUCGGUUCGUGCCGGUUUCGAACCGGCCCGUGUUUAGACGGUUCCGGGCGGUUGAAAAUACGGUUCGGGGCGUGCCGGUUCAAUCGGUUCGGCCCGUUUGGCCACCUCUAGGUGCCACUCUUGCCUUGAUAUUUUCAUCAUCUUACCUUAGGAUACCCCCUAACCUUUUCAUACCGAUUAAACUGAUCCGACAUGUUUAGGGGCUGUUUGGUUAAGAGUAAUUGACAAAGGUAAAGAGAAACUAUCCGUUUCAUUCUUUUUGUUGUUGUUUGUUUUAUGAAAUCUCUCAUUCCCUUUCCCUUAUUUUGGUUUUAGAUUUACCCCAAAUCUCUCAUGAUCCAUUCCCCACCCCCACCAGAUAUUUCUUUUCCCUUUCCUGAUUCUAUUUUAUUUUCAAUUAUAAUUUAUUUCAAAAAUCAUUAACAUUAAAAAAUAAUAUGUAAAAUAUUUUUGAAGAUCAAAAAUAAAUUUUAAUUUAGUUUUUACAGAUUAAAAAUUAUUUUAAUAUAAUUUAUAAGUCAAGAUAUUUUUAAAAUUAAUGAAAUUUUUAAAUAAUAAAAUAUAUCAAAUUAUAAACGUGAAUAUAUUUGACUCUUUUGAUAUUAUUUAAUAUUUAAAAAUCAAAUAUAGGAAUAAUCAUAUAAAUUUUCAUUCCGUUUCCGGAUCAAAACCAAACAGGUAAUACAAUUCAGCAUCAUUCCUUUCUUUUCUCUUCGUUUCCCUUUCUUAAUUUCAUUCCGUUUUCUUAACUCGAACCAAACGGCUCUUAGUGUUUUUAGCUGACCUAACCAAAUACCUAAAUCAAAUUUGAAUGGUUUAAAUAUUGAAGAAAUUGAAUUAAAUAGAUUGAGUUAGGAUUUUGUCAAUUUUAACCAAAUCUAGCCCGACAUAUAUUAUAGAAUUUUUGCCACAAAACCCAAAUCUAAAAGAAGUUUUGCAAAAAUACCACCACUUUUUAAAACGAAUUGCAAAAAUAUUAUGUUUCAAAUUGCAAAAAUAUGGUUGCAUUUAUAACCAUAUUUGCAACUGCUAACAAUCAUAUAUUCAACCACAAAUGUAAUUUUGAUUUUUUUUUUGAAAAAUUACGUUUAUUUGCAAAAUAAGUUGUAGCUGGUUGCAAAGACAAAAAAUGAAUACCCUGCAGAGCCAAUACUAAUAACCAUAAAAAUAACUGCAAUAAUCAAAUUCAACAAUCACGACAACUAACAAUUAAUAAUCCUAAUCAAUCAACGCAAUCACACAUACAAUCAUAUACAUGCAAUUAUAUACAUACACAUAUAUGAUAUCUUUAAUCGAGUCUAAUUCAGUUUUUUAGCCUUCCAAAUUUUUGAACCCUAAUCAAUAAUUCAUUUCUCCGACUGAAAUUUUGAUGAGAGAGAGGGGGAGAAUGAAGAGAGAGACAACAACUAGAGACAACGAGGGAACAGAGCUAGGGGAAAGAAAUAAUGAAAAGGGGGAAGGGAGGAGAGAGGGAGAUUAAUCAGCGCCGGAAGGACACGCAGAGGGAGAGGGCGAGAUUUCCUCAUUGAGGGAGAGAAUGAGAUGUUGCGCUUGUCAACGUAUAUCUGCAAAUUUUUUAAUCUUUUUUAUUAAAAGAACGUAAACUUGCAACAAAAACAAGAAAGAUAGUAAUUUUGCAAUUAAAAUGUUAAAAAAGUAUUUUAUUUUUUUGAUAACUUCCCUAUAUUAUACACUAAUAAGAUAUUACUAAUUCACUAAUUGACUUCAAAUUAAGAAUUUUUUGAUAUACUAUUAUAUAUCACGUGUCGAUAGUUUUGACUUGAUCCAAAGUGACUUAUACUAUGCAUUAAUGAGUUGUAUUAGUUUACAAUUUGACUUAAAUUUAAGAUCUUACACACUGAACUUAUGAUAUAUAUUUAAUGUAAUAAUAUAUUAUUUAUAUUUAGGGUAAUUUAGUUUUGUAGAUUGUAAUGUAAUAUAAUUUGCAUUUGUGGUGUGAUCAAUUAUAUAAUUGCAUACUAGAUUAGAUUAAGUUGUACAUGAGUUUGAUUCUCGGACACUUGAGUUAUUCUAUUACUGAUUAACAAAUACAAAUAUGUUUUGCACAAAAUUCUAUUUUAUAUUUAACUUGAUCAACACAAUAAAGUUGAAACAAUCCAACCCGAUUUUAAUAAGAUUUAUGAUGAGUUUAAAAUUUAUAAAACUGAUCUAAUUGAGUUGGGUUACUACAUUGCUUGUAACCCGUCCAACCCGAUGUGCGGGCACCCCUAAUCUCACCGUGCUCCUCUUUUAUGCGGGGUUUCUUUGCGAGACUAGUAGAAAAAUAUAAACAUAUAAUUGAUACUCGUUCCGUCUCAUUCAAUUGUAUACGCUACUUUUUGGCACGCCUUUUAAGACUCUUUUAAAGCAUAAUUUCAUCAUAUUUUUUUAAAUUAUUUUUUUUUCUAAAUAAAAGAUUGAUGUUUAAAUUUUUAUUCAAAUUUUUUUUUUAAAUUGUGGAACUUUAUUUUAUAGGAGUAUCGGAAUGCGUGUAAAUAGUGAACGUAUAUAAUUCACCGGGACAGAGGGAGUAUCUUUUUUGUCUCAUUUUUAUCAUUCUCUUUAUUUCACAUAUAUUUUAAAAUUUAUAUAAAAUUCAAUUUCAUAUUUUUUUCAAUUUUUUCUCCGAAUAAAGUUAAUUUUUUAUAUUCUAUUAUGAAAGNNNNNNNNNNNNAAGAGAACAUUGC